CGCGUAGGUGGUUUGUUAAGUUGGAUGUGAAAGCCCCGGGCUCAACCUGGGAACUGCAUCCAAAACUGGCAAGCUAGAGUACGGUAGAGGGUGGUGGAAUUUCCUGUGUAGCGGUGAAAUGCGUAGAUAUAGGAAGGAACACCAGUGGCGAAGGCGACCACCUGGACUGAUACUGACACUGAGGUGCGAAAGCGGUGGGGAAGCAAACA
rnacentral:rRNA from 1 species